GUACUGGAUGGACGGAGACCUGGUGUGCUGGUUGGAAUGAAGGCGUUGUUUUAGGAGCGACUAACAAUGUGAGACAGUGGAAAGAGCCAGAUAAUGGAAGUUCUUGAAUACCUAUGAGGAGUUUGGAGUCUUAAGGCCCAAGUCUGGAAUCCUGACUAGGGUGAAGAAUCGGGACAUCCGAACAGGGCACAGUCUACGAAGAGAGUGCAUUAAGCACAGUGAUGAAGGAGCGGCGCGUGGCCUGGCUCAGGAAUCAUAUCUACUGUGUGAGGAAAGCUGCCUGUGGCACCGAUCUAGAUGAUAAAUGGAGAGAAGUUAAAAGGGACAAGGAAAGGAACAUUCAGAAGCAAGAGGAUGACUAGAAAAAGAUGAAAGAAGAUUCCGGGCUCUGUGGCGCAAUGGAUAGCGCAUUGGACUUCUAGAAAGAAGAUUCCGUGUCCAGCGAUCUUACAUGUCUACUUUGUGAACAAUAACUAUAUCAAAACAAGAGGAGAAGGAAGGGGGUAAAGAAGGAAAAAUGGAUGAAAGUUGAUAUGACUGAAUGACCUUAAAGACAUACAAAACUACAGGGGCAUCCCUAGGGGCCUUAGUCUCCUCUCAGGAUGGGCCUUCACUCACACUGGGGGCUCUGACAGGUCCUCUUGGUUCCGUGUGUGUCCCUGUCUCCUUCUGUCCUCACGCUGACUGCGAGAUUUUGCACGUCAUACUUCCAAGUCAAGGUUUCCAGAUCGGCUCUUCCUUCCAUCCCAGGAUCUAUACCUGGCAUGUUCAAGCAGGUGUGUCACAUUGCAGGAUGGCUGUCACCACAUGAUUUGGUGAUGUAGUCAUGCAUUUAUUCUCAUCCCAUGAUAAAAGUUCUUGAGGAUGGUCUGUCAGUUGCCAAAACUGUCUAGAGAAGAGACAGGCAGUGUUGUCUCUACUCUGCUCCUCCCUUACAUGGAGAAAACACAAUCUUGUCUCUGUCUUUACCCUGCUAAGUCCCUAUAUGUAUUUUGCACAUUUAAUAUGUUAACUAUCAGGUAACAACAUGAAUGCUCCUGGAUUCCCUGCUUCACACACAUCACACUUAAACACACCAAGAAAACACCAAAUUUUCAAUUGUGAGCAAUCAGUUCUGGGAGAAAUACACUAAUAUUUAAGGGUGAAGAUACUUCAAAAGGCUGAUUUAGAGAUGAUACAACCUUGCUUUGCUUCAGGAGAAAGUGAGCACUGUUGGAGAAGUUUCGAGAGAUCAGCAGAGAGCCAGACACUCAUAGCAGUUACUGUUUUCACAAGCAAUAGCAUCUCACACUGACCCUGAAUCUGCUCUUUAUUUUCCUGUCACUGCAUCUUUGAUGCAUCCUUCUCUUUUAUCUUCACUUCCCCAUAGAGAUUCAGCAGAUCUGAUCAGUUUCCCCUGAGAUGUUCUCCUCAUGGUCAUGGUCUUUCCCUUCUCUGAUCCAACACUGAAUUUUGGGCUUCUGUGGUAAUCAUGAUGCUCUUCUCUGGGUUUUUUUGUGUACUUGACACAUGCACCUUGAGUUAAGGACUUCGUCUCACUUGCUUCUCAUGGAAUCACGUUGCCUAGCACAGCACUGCGAAUAUUCAU